UCAAGCAGCUCAGCUGGUGCCUGGUAUCUUUGCAGGACCUAUUUUGGUAAACCCGGCAUAUGUGGUCAUACGUCAGAGUGGACUUUGUGGGGAGUCCUAUAUUUACCAGCGUUCUGAUGGCCAAGAACCAGCUUUUUCAUGACAAUUUCCCAAGGAUCAACUUAUGGAGAAGUGCCUUUUUGCCAUCCAAGGCAGGACUUCUGAGCCUGGAUUUCAUAGAACACAGCGUGGAAACCACCACUGUAGGUCGACUACAGUUCUGUGUGGGUCCAGCAGGAGACAGUCAGGAACCGAAAGUCGGCAGACACUCCUUUUUUGAUGGC